rnacentral:lncRNA from 1 species
UACCAACACUUGACAACACAGAUCGGUUCCCUACAGAAACUAACUUAUUAUAAGAUGACCUAGAGAUAAGUCUAUUAGUAAACGCUCCUUCACGGUCCUGUUUCAAUUGGGCUGCAACGAUGUCGAGAGGAGAUAACAAAAUGGGUGAAGAGCUGGUCGAUGUUAUCGAGGAACCAAAUCCAAACAAGGUGUCAGCUGCACCAUUUGUUUCGUGGAAGUUAUGUUGUACCGACGGACUCCCCAAACUCCUCAACAUUAACCUGCAAGAAGCGACAAGGUUACCGUAAGAGGUGAUGGGAAGAAAAUUAGUUCCAUAAUUCAAGCAAGUCAGUUUAAAUAUUCAAGGGGUAGAGCCUGUCUUCUAGAACUAGUUGAAGUCCAUAACAUAAGUAUUUUAGGUCAAUCAUAUUAGGAAAAUUUCCAAAACUUUGGGUCGCAAAACAAAUAAUCCAUUGACCAGUAGAGUUGUGAAUUAGACCACCAAUGCCACAUUGAUUAACGGGGCAAGAAUAGGAGCCAUCAAUAUUUAAUUUGUACUUACAUGGCUCAGGAGGGAACCAUUUAACAGUGACAUUUACGGAACCCAAAUUACUGCAGGGAAUAGAAUGAUAGUUAAAUACUCCAAGGCUUUGCUGUGAACAAUAUUAAGAUUCAGAAAACUGGUCUUCUAAUUGAAGACUAUUAUCAUUUUGAUGUAACCAAACAUUCCAAAUAGCAAAAGAAAGGAUGUCCAACCAAUUAAUAUCAUCAAUAUUAAAAAGGGGAUUAAGACUUUUAAGAGCGUUAAGCCAAUGUCAUUGGGACGUAUAUAUACGUGAAACAUUAAAGCCCAUGUCCAACAAAAAUUUUUGGGCAAUGUGACAAUAGAGGAAGACAUAAGCAACAGUUUCAGGCUCUGUAUGACAAACAGGGCAUAAAGGAUCAUGAGUCAGUCCAAUAUAAUGAAGACAGGCGGAGGAUGCAAUUUUUUCGUGAGAGAGCAAGCAAAGGAAGAAUUUAAUUUCUUUUUAAAGUAUGAAGGUGCCAAAUCCACCAAAACUCAUUGGGGUAAGCAGUAUGAUGAGUAAAAAACUUAUAAACCAAACUAUAUAUUGGUGAAAAUACAAUUUUAUUAAGAGACCAGUAAGACUUAAUGCUAUUUCCUACAGUGGUUGAGCGACGAACUAAAUUUGCCUUGAGUACAAUAGUUUGAGACAUGUGAAAAGAGAGCAUAUCACAAUCCCAAGAGUGGUCGUUCCAAACGUCGGCGAGGGAAAGAUUUUCUUCAUUCCUAAAGAGUACUUCUAAGAGGAGGAUUAUCUGGAAUCCAUUUUUGGAACCAAAAGUUAAUAGUAUUACCCCUAGGGGGGGCCCAAGCAGUAGCUUGUUGACAUAUUACCCCUCCUAUUAAAAUAUUUUCCCAAAUUAAUGAGUGAGAGAGAGCUUUUGGGUCUUGAUUAUAAACAGAAAAAAGGGUGCUAGCCCAAAGUGAAGAAGGGUUAGUGAAAAGUCGCCAAGCAAGGCAAGCAAGGAGAGAUUUAUUCUUUAUCGUAGAUUGUUGGAGGCCGAGACCUCCAUUCUCUUUAGAAGUUGUCACCUUCUCCAAACCAACAUGGUGAAUUCUUCUUUUUUGAGAGGUAGAACCCCAAAGGAAGUUACGUUGAAUUUGAUCAAUAGCAUUGCACGUUUUUUUAGGGAGUUGAAAAUAAAUAUCGCAUGAUAUAACAAGGAAUGGCACUUAAGGUAGAUUUCGCAAGUGCCAGCCUUCCAGUUGGGGAAAGAAAAUUUAGCUUCCAAGAGGCAAGUUUUUUCAUCAUAUUUUCAAGAAGAAACUGAAAAUUGGCAUGAUGGGGUUUGUUAUUCAAAAUAGAGAAACCUAGAUAUUUUCCAAAUGUUUCUGAGGAAGAGAUAUUGAAAGUAUCUUUAACAAGAUUUUUUAUAACGUUAGAGCAUAAUACAAAGAAUAUAGCUUUUGAUUUUAAGAUACUAAUUUUUUGGCCGAAAAGAUUACAAAAACAGUUCAUACACCCAAACAUGGUGCGUAUUGAUUGGGAGCUAGCUUUAGAAUUAACGUCAAGUCGUCCGCAAAGAAUAGAUGGGAAAGUUGGAGAUUGUUUUUAUGGAUGGAAAUAGGUUCCCAGUUUAAAAGAUCCACCUCGUGUGUAAUGUAGUUGGAGAGGAGGUCCAUGCAUAGAAUAAAAAUAUAAAGGGACAUGGGGUCUCCUUGUCUAAUACCACAUGAGGGGGAGAAGUAAUCCGGCUGGGUACCAUUAACAAUAACGGAAAUAUUACUAGUAGAGAUGCGAUUCAUGAUAAGGGUAGUAAUCCUAGGGGGAAAUUCAAAGAACAAAAGCGUUCGAUAAACAAAGAACCAUUCUAGAUUGUCAAAAUCCUUUUCAAGGUCUAGCAUAAGCAUAAGGCAACCUUUUUUACUUUUGGUUUUCCUAAGGUAGGUCAUAAGAUCUUAAAUAAUAAUGUCAUUAUCACAAGCCCGACGCCCCUUAAUAAAGCUAGAUUGGAAGGGACCGAUAAGGCUGGGAAGGUAGGGUUUAAUCCAUAAUUUUGGUGAUGAUUUUAUAGAUCGUAUUACACAAACUAAUGGGACGAUUUUCUUUUAGAAGUUUUGCAUUAGCAAAUUUAGGGAUAAGACACAAUAACAUAUCAUUAAGAGCUUCUAGCAGUGUUUGGGUCAAAAACACCUUAUGCCAUAAAUUAGAAAUAGAAUUACCAUUAGUUCUCCAUUGGGACGGGAAAAAGUAGGGAUGAGGGCCAUCCAGGCCUGGGGCUUUAAAAGGUUUGAAAGAGAAUAAAUCUUGAGUAAUUUCAACAUCCCAAAGGGGUAUAUCUAGAGCAGAGAGAUCAAGUCGGUGGAACCUAGUAGGGAAGGUUCGAAUAUGUUGCCAAUUCGAACUAGUAAGGUCUGUAGUAAAGCAAUUAUGAAAUAAUUCUAAGUAUGGUCAGAAAGUUGUACAGGGUUAGUAAUUCAUUGAUCUUUAUCAUCUUUAAAAUAAGAAACCUUAUUCCUACGCCUUAUAUUAAUAACGAAGAGAUGGAAAAACAUAGUAUUUGCAUCCCCUUUGCUAAUCCAAUUAAUACGAGAUCGCAUCUUUCAAAAAACUUGUUCGACGCGAAAGGUGUCAUUAUACUCUAAAGUAAGAUUUUUUUUCAAGAGAUUGUUGGAAGAAACUUGUAGAGCCAUAUGGCGAUGCUUCUCUUUUAAAUAUUCCUAAAAGUGAGCUUACUCCAAGUAAUAAUAGAAUCUCAAAAAACAGGAAUGGCUUCGUGGAGAGAUCUAUUUUCCCAACAACUGAUAAUGAGGCUAUUAAACUUUGGAUGAUCCAUCCAAAAUUUCUCCAACCUAAAAGGACUUCUACCAUUAGUGGUACUUUUGCUAAGAGAAAUAAGAAGAGGAUUGUGAUCGAAAUGAGUUUUUGGGAGAUGAGUAACAUGGGCGUUAGGCCAUAUAUCUAGGAAAUUAUUAUUAGCAAAAACACGAUCUAAACAUUCCAGAAUAAGACCUCUAUGUUUUUUCCUAUGGUUAGACCAAGUAUAUCGAGAGCCUUUAAAGCCUAAAUCUAAGAAUUGGCUGUUAUUUAUACAGGACCAAGAGACCAAAAUUCAGAACUUCUACGAUAAUAUAAAUUACGCCCUCCCCAUUUAUCACUUAGGUUAAGAAUUUCGUUAAAAUCACCUGCAAUUAACCAAGGGCAGUCUAUAGUACUAGAAAUACUUUUAGGAUGGUUCCAGAGAUCCAUUCGAGAAGAAAAAAAAAGUACUAGAUAUAUGAUGGAAAGCCAGCAUGGAGAGUUGUUAGGGAUUACCUUAAUCAUCACAUGAAGUUCUUGCAAAGAUUGAUGCUUGCAAGUGAUGGCAACAAAGUUGGUGUUCCAAAGAAGCAUUAUACCCCNNN